rfam:Spirochaeta africana DSM 8902, complete genome.
GCGAGAGUGGUGGAAUUGGUAGACACGCCAGAUUUAGGAUCUGGUACCUUCGGGUGUGGGGGUUCAAGUCCCUUCUCUCGCA